AGAAUGAACGCUGGCGGCGUGCCUAACACAUGCAAGUCGUGCGCGAAAGGGACUUCGGUCCCCGGUAGAGCGGCGAACGGGUGAGUAACACGUGGGUAACCUGUCUGAGAGUGGGGGAUAACCUGGGGAAACUCGGGCUAAUACCGCAUACGUCCGCUGGGCUUCGGCUCGGCGAGGAAAGGUGGCCUCUGCUUGCAAGCCACCACUCCCAGAGGGGCCCGCGUCUGAUUAGCUAGUUGGCGGGGUAACGGCCCACCAAGGCGACGAUCAGUAGCCGGCCUGAGAGGGCGAUCGGCCACACUGGAACUGAGACACGGUCCAGACUCCUACGGGAGGCAGCAGUGAGGAAUCUUGCGCAAUGGGGGAAACCCUGACGCAGCAACGCCGCGUGGAGGAUGAAGGCCUUCGGGUCGUAAACUCUGUCAGAUGGACGAAGGCUGCGGGCGAAGUACGUCGUAAGUCUUGACGGUACCAUCAGGAAGGAACGACCCCGGCGUAACCUCUGUUGCCAGCACGCCGUA
rnacentral:rRNA from 1 species